rnacentral:rRNA from 1 species
GGGGAAUCUUGCGCAAUGGACGAAAGUCUGACGCAGCGACGCCGCGUGGGUGACGAAGGCCUUCGGGUUGUAAAGCCCUGUGGGGAGAGACGAACCGGCAUCUGGCUAACAUCCAGGUGCUCUGACGGUAUCUCCUUAGCAAGCAUCGGCUAACUCUGUGCCAGCAGCCGCGGUAAGACAGAGGAUGCAAACGUUGCUCGGAAUUACUGGGCGUAAAGCGCGCGCAGGCGGUCCCGUAAGUCGGGUGUGAAAGCCCCGGGCUCAACCCGGGAAGUGCACUCGAUACUGCGAGACUGGAGUACUGGAGAGGAGAGCGGAAUUCUCGGUGUAGAGGUGAAAUUCGUAGAUAUCGGGAGGAACACCAGCGGCGAAGGCGGCUCUCUGGACAGAUACUGACGCUGAGGCGCGAAAGCGUGGGAAGCAAAC